UCCUCUACCACACACACACUAAGAUGAGAUAUGCUCUGUUUUUGGAAACAAGUCAUUUGCACUUUGAUUACAUGUGUAUGGUACUAUGCUGCAGUAGAAAGGAAAAAUCUGGAACUUGCAUGCUUUGCGGGUGAUUGUAAGAAUGUGUAUGUGUGUGUUUGUUUGUUUUUUGCUACGGUGACCUAAUAGUACUGCCAACCAGUAUCACUUCUACAUGUCUGCGCGUUCCGUGGACAUAAAGCACUGUGUGAGCUGCUGAUAAAAAAUGGUGUCGACGUUAAUGUCCAAGAUGAGUAUGGUAGGACACCAUUCCACUUUGCAGCAUACAGAGGUCAUGUGUCCGUACUAGAAUGUCUGUUGAAUGCUGGACAUCCAUUGGAAGCGAAAGAUUCGGAUGGUGACACACCAUUACAUGAUGCAGCAUAUUAUGGUCAUGUUUCUGUAGUAGAAUGUCUUCUCACUUCUGGACAUUCGUUGGAACCAAAGAAUAAUCGUGGUUGCACACCAUUACACAGGGCAGCAUCGGUUGGUCAUGUUUCCGUAGCAGAAUAUCUACUUAAUUCUGGACAUUCCUUGGAGCCAAAGAACAAUCUGGGCGGACUUUGUGCUGAAUGACUGAACUGACGUUUGAGGCUACCCGCAUGCUCGUAAGCCACCCGGACUGGUAACUUGUGCUUCCGGAUACCUUUGCUGACGCUGUGAUGCACCCCGUCCGACUUAUAUGGCAGCUUCAAAAAGGCACAACACGGAUUACCUCGGCAGCGACGCUUGGGUUUCUUUGCUGCUGCUCUUGCAUUAGUGAUGAGGCUGUCUGGAUAGUGUUUGUGUUGAAGUUGGUCUUGAAUUUUCUGUUCACUUUCUUUACACAUGGUGUCAUUGGAAGACAGACGUUGUGCUCUUAAGAAUUGAGACUAUGCAACUGCAAGUUUGAUGUGAUGAGGCACAGCAGAUGCGUAGUCUAUCAACAAUCCACUAUUGCAUGGCUUUUGGAAGAGCUUGUCGGUCAUCUGGCCCGACUGUUGUAUGGCAAUUGUCAUGUCCAUGUAUCAAUCCAGCCUUUGCUACUGCUGAGCUCGUAGGUGAACUUGAGUCGGUCGUGUCCUGCAUUGAAGGGCUGUAUUAGCUCCAAGAGGCGUUUCUCACCGUGGGUCCAGAGAAUGAUCGCAUCAUCAAUGUACCGUGUGUACAGUACAGGCAGAACCGGUGAAUCGGCAAGAAGGGGCGUUUCCAGAGAGUGCUCGGGUACAGGCCCACGACAUCCAAAUUGGCAAGAAUUGUCCCCUCUGGAGCUUUGAGAUCUGGGAAUAUAGUGCAGAUGUCAUCAAGGGCUUCAUUCGUAUUAGGGAGGUGCGCUGGGGCAAAGUCUAGCAACUGGUGUAGAAUGCGUUCCAGUAUGAUUGAUAUGCCCGUGACAGGACUAUCACAUGCCGACACGACGGAUCGUAGGGGUAGGUUCUGCUUAUGAUCCUUUGGGAGACCAUAGAACUCGAGGAAUCUUGUAUUAUUGGGGAGAAUCGACUUCAGCAGCUUGGAAUCCAUGUUGUUGCAUUUGUCCCCAAGGACAGCUUUCACCCGAGACUCGAACUCGGUUAUUGUUAUGUCA